rnacentral:piRNA from 1 species
UGGUCCACACAGGUUCCUACCACAUGUU